rnacentral:misc_RNA from 1 species
GAUGAAGAACGCAGCGAAAUGCGAUACGUAAUGUGAAUUGCAGAAUUCAGUGAAUCAUCGAGUCUUUGAACGCACAUUGCGCCCCCUGGCAUUCCGGGGGGCAUGCCUGUCCGAGCGUCAUUGCUGCCCUUCAAGCCCGGCUUGUGUGUUGGGUCGUCGUCCCCCCCGGGGGACGGGCCCGAAAGGCAGCGGCGGCACCGCGUCCGGUCCUCGAGCGUAUGGGGCUUUGUCACCCGCUCGAUUAGGGCCGGCCGGGCGCCAGCCGGCGUCUCCAACCUUCUAUUUUACCAGGUUGACCUCGGAUCAGGUAGGGAUACCCGCUGAACUUAAGCAUAUCAAUAGCGGAGGA